AUGUGUUGUCCAGGUAGAGUGUGCAUGCUAUGCACGUGCUUGAUCAUGAUUGUGAUCGUUAUCGGCUUUCUCUUCGGAUUCGGUGUUUUCAAGCAUGGGUUUCACAAAAUCAAAGAUACUGUUAGUUACUGCGACUCUUGCGGUGGUGUUGGCGGUGGAGGAAGGCCUUUCUUAGGUUAUGCGCCGCCGCCAUUUUACUAG